rnacentral:rRNA from 1 species
CAGUCGCCGCGGUAAUACAGAGGGUGCGAGCGUUAAUCGGAUUUACUGGGCGUAAAGCGUGCGUAGGCGGCUAAUUGAGUCGGAUGUGAAAUCCCCGAGCUUAACUUGGGAAUUGCAUUCGAUACUGGUUAGCUAGAGUGUGGGAGAGGAUGGUAGAAUUCCAGGUGUAGCGGUGAAAUGCGUAGAGAUCUGGAGGAAUACCGAUGGCGAAGGCAGCCAUCUGGCCUAACACUGACGCUGAGGUACGAAAGCAUGGGGAGCAAACAGGAUUAGAGACCCGAGUAGUCCCUGUCUCUUAUAC